AUGGGUUGGACUCCUGGCAUCUUCCUGGUUCUCUCUUACUUGACAGGUUCCUUUUCUCAGUCUAUAUUGACACAAUCACCCUCCAUCUCUGAGCCUCUUCAAUCAACAGCCAGACUUGCCUGCACCCUGAGGAGUGACAUCAGUGUUGGUACUAAACAUAUUUACUGGUACCAGCAGAUGGAGGGGAACCCACUCCGGUUUUUUCUGCACUACUACUCUGACUCAAACAAGAAUCUCGGUCCUGGAGUCCCCAAUAGGGUAUCUGGAUCCAAAGAUACCUCCAAAAGUGCUGCAAAUUUGCAGAUCUCUGAGCUACAGAUGGAGGAUGAGGCUGUGUAUUACUGUUCCAACUGGGAAAAUAGUGUUUAUCACACUGACACAGGCAGAUGGGGAAGUUUUUCUGUCCUACUUGGUGGAGACUACAUCCUUCCCUAUGUAGUCUUUUCUCGUCUCAGUGUGACCAAGUGUAAAGUAAAAGGGGGUUCUUCUGUCCUGCCAUUUGGUGGAGCCUACAUCAUUCCCAUGUGUAGUCUUUUCACUUCCCAGUCAGACCCAGGCUAA